rnacentral:rRNA from 1 species
AUUGAACGCUGGCGGCAGGCCUAACACAUGCAAGUCGAGCGAGCGGCGGACGGGUGAGUAAUGUCUGGGAAACUGCCUGAUGGAGGGGGAUAACUACUGGAAACGGUAGCUAAUACCGCAUACCAUCAGAUGUGCCCAGAUGGGAUUAGCUAGUAGGUGGGGUAACGGCUCACCUAGGCGACGAUCCCUAGCUGGUCUGUGAGGAUGACCAGCCAAACUGGAACUUGGACACGGUCCAGACGCCUACUGGCGGCAGCAGUGGGGAAUAUUGCACAAUGGGCGGAAGCCUGAUGCAGCCAUGCCGCGGGUGUGAAGGAGGCCUUCGGGUUGUAAAGCACUUUAAGCGAGGAGGCGUUACUCGCAGAAUAAGCACCGGCUAACUCUGUGCCAGCAGCCGCGGUAAUUC